GCUGGAUGUGGUGGCACACACCUGUAAUCCUAUGACUGGGAGGCGGAGGCUGGCGGAUUGCUUGAGCUCAGGAGUUCUGGGUUGUAGUGCGCUAUGCCAAUCGGGUGUCCGCACUAAGUUCGGCAUCAACAUGGCGAUCCCGGAGGUCACCAGGUUGUUUAAGGAGAGGUGAGACGGAGCAGGUCAAAACUCCCGUGCUGAUCAGUAGUGGGACCGCACCUGUGAAUAGCCCCUGCCGCCUAGCCUGGGCAACACAGUGGGACACAGUCUCUU
rnacentral:SRP_RNA from 1 species